rnacentral:rRNA from 1 species
UACAGAGGUCCCAAGCGUUGUUCGGAUUCAUUGGGCGUAAAGGGCGCGUAGGCGGCGGGUCAAGUCGAGUGUGAAAGCCCCGGGCUCAACCUGGGAAUUGCGCUCGAGACUGGUCUGCUUGAGUUCGGGAGAGGAGAGUGGAAUUCCCAGUGUAGAGGUGAAAUUCGUAGAUAUUGGGAAGAACACCGGUGGCGAAGGCGGCUCUCUGGACCGAGACUGACGCUGAGACGCGAAAGCGUGGGGAGCAAACAGG